rnacentral:lncRNA from 1 species
UAACAUUUUGUCACAUCUUCUCUUGAAUUGGAAACAUCAGAACAAAAUCAUGCUUCAGCUUUCAACACUGAGCUAAACUCGGAACAACCUAUUGAUGCAGAAAUGCCACAACCACCGUCGGAACCACCACAGCCCCAAAAUGACACAGUAACAAUCUGCCUUGAAAACCCACCUCAAAACUCCUCCGAUUCAUCCUCCCAACAAUAACAAGAUCCCCUUUCGCGCUCGCCUUCACC